ACAGCAGCAGCCACGGUAAUACGUAGGGUGCAAGCGUUAAUCGGAACUACUGGGCGUAAAGCGUGCGCAGGCGGUUAUAUAAGACAGAUGUGAAAUCCCCGGGCUCAACCUGGGAACUGCAUUUGUGACUGUAUAGCUAGAGUACGGCAGAGGGGGAUGGAAUUCCGCGUGUAGCAGUGAAAUGCGUAGAUAUGCGGAGGAACACCGAUGGCGAAGGCAAUCCCCUGGGCCUGUACUGACGCUCAUGCACGAAAGCGUGGGGAGCAAACAGGAUUAGAUACCCCUGUAGUCCCUGUCUCUUAUAC
rnacentral:rRNA from 1 species